rnacentral:rRNA from 1 species
CAGCCGCCGCGGUAAUACGAAGGGGGCUAGCGUUGUUCGGAUUUACUGGGCGUAAAGGGCGCGUAGGCGGACUGAUAAGUCAGGGGUGAAAUCCCAAGGCUCAACCUUGGAACUGCCUUUGAUACUGUUUGUCUUGAGUUCGAGAGAGGUAAGUGGAACUGCGAGUGUAGAGGUGAAAUUCGUAGAUAUUCGCAAGAACACCAGUGGCGAAGGCGGCUUACUGGCUCGAAACUGACGCUGAGGCGCGAAAGCGUGGGGAGCAAGCAGGAUUAGAUACCCGGGUAGUCCCUGUCUCUUAUAC